rnacentral:rRNA from 1 species
GGUCAAUAGCCUAACGGCUGAACCAGCAACUUGGAGGAAUGUAUAGCAAUAGCUGAUUGCACCAACAAACAGUUGAUGCAAUAUCGACUAUGUCGAAUAAAAUUCUAGGUAGAAUUAUGAUAAUGACAUUGUCUGCCUAUGUGUCUUGACCAACAUACGUGCCAGCAGUCGCGGUAAUACGUAAAAGACUAGUGUUAUUCAUCUUUAAUAGGUUUAAAGGGUACCUAGACGGUAAAUCAAGCCUUUUACCUUAGGGACUAAUUUACUAGAGUUACUUGUGAGGGGGUUUUAAAGUACUGCUGGUGUAGAGAUGAAAUUCUGUCAUACCUCUUUUCGUAAGAAAAACUAUGGCACAGGUAUAGGCGAAAGCAUCCCCUUAUGUGAUAACUGACGUUGAGGGACGAAGGCUCUUUGUCGCGAACAGGAUUAGUUACCCCAGUAGUCAGAGCAGAAAAUGAUGAAUGUCAUAGAUUAGAUAAAUAAUAUUUACUCUAUAAAUGAAAGUGUAAGCAUUCCACCUCAAGAGUAAUUUGGCAACAUUGGAACUGAAAUCAUUAGACCGUUUCUGAAACCAGUAGUGAAGUAUGUUGUUUAAUUUGAUGAUCCGCAAAAAACCUUACCACAAUUUGAAUAUUUAUAUUUAUAUAUAUUUACAAGCGUUGCACGGCUGUCUUCAGUUAAUGUCGUGAGACUUUGGUUAGAUCCAUUAAAUUAACGUAAACCCUUACUUUAUUUUUAUAUAAAGUGGUUCCCCACUAUAUUGGAUAUGAUAACAGGGACUAGGACAAGUCAUCAUGGCCUAAAUAUUGUGGGCUAUAGACGUGCCACAUAAGCCUUACAAAAGGGUGUGAAAUUGUGAAAUUGAGCUAAUCCCCCAAAUCUGGAUAUACACUCGCAAUGGAUUGUAGUC